rnacentral:rRNA from 1 species
GACGAACGCUGGCGGCGUGCCUAAUACAUGCAAGUAGAACGCUGAAGAGAGGAGCUUGCUCUUCUUGGAUGAGUUGCGAACGGGUGAGUAACGCGUAGGUAACCCGCCUUGUAGCGGGGGAUAACUAUUGGAAACGAUAGCUAAUACCGCAUAACAAUGGAUGACACAUGUCAUUUAUUUGAAAGGGGCAAUUGCUCCACUACAAGAUGGACCUGCGUUGUAUUAGCUAGUAGGUGAGGUAAUGGCUCACCUAGGCGACGAUACAUAGCCGACCUGAGAGGGUGAUCGGCCACACUGGGACUGAGACACGGCCCAGACUCCUACGGGAGGCAGCAGUAGGGAAUCUUCGGCAAUGGGGGCAACCCUGACCGAGCAACGCCGCGUGAGUGAAGAAGGUUUUCGGAUCGUAAAGUUCUGUUGUAAGUCAAGAACGGGUGUGAGAGUGGAAAGUUCACACUGUGACGGUAGCUUACCAGAAAGGGACGGCUAACUACGUG